UGUGCAGGCGGCAGAGCUAGUCUUUUGUGAAAGGUCCCGGGCUCAACCCGGGAACCGCAGGAGAAACGGCUCAGCUUAGAGGACGCGAGAGGUAGAGGGAACUCAUGGUGUAGGGGUGAAAUCCGUUGAUAUCAUGGGGAACACCAAAUGCGAAGGCACUCUACUGGCGCGCUCCUGACGCUCAUACACGAAAGCGUGGGAAUCGAAC
rnacentral:rRNA from 1 species